GACGAACGCUGGCGGCGUGCUUAACACAUGCAAGUCGAACGGUGAAGCGCCUUCCUUUUUGGUGGGUGUGGAUGAGUGGCGAACGGGUGAGUAACACGUGAGUAACCUGCCCCCUUCUUCUGCAUAACCGCAUGAAAGCGUGGCUAAUACGGGAUAUUCUGGGUCUGUCGCAUGAUGGGUCUGGGAAGGAUGUUGUUUCGGUGCGGGAUGGGCUCGCGGCCUGUCUGCUUGUUGGUGGGGUGAUGGCCUACGAAGGCGGUGAGGGGUAGCCGGCCUGAGCGGGUGGCCGGCCACAGAGGGAGUGCGGCACGGUCGGGACUGCUACGCGGGGCAGCAGCGGGGAAUAUUGAGCAGUGGGGGAAAGCGUGAUGCAGCGACGCCGCGGGAGGGAUGGAGGCCUGCGGGUUGUGAACCUCUUUCGCCAGUGAAGCAGGCUUGCCUGGUUUGUGGGUGGGUUGACGGUAGCUGGAUAAGAAGCGCCGGCUAACUACGUG
rnacentral:rRNA from 1 species